GCCUAGUUAGCUUUUAGGGUAGAGCGUCUGCCUUGUAAGCGCUAGGUCGUGGGUUUGAUUCCCACCCGGGGCG
rnacentral:tRNA from 1 species